UAGGGAAUCUUCCGCAAUGGACGCAAGUCUGACGGAGCAACGCCGCGUGAGUGAAGAAGGAUUUCGGUUCGUAAAACUCUGUUGCUAGAGAAGAACAGCGCAUAGAGUAACUGUUAUGCGUGUGACGGUAUCUAACCAGAAAGCCACGGCUAACUACGUGCCAGCAGCCGCGGUAAUACGUAGGUGGCAAGCGUUGUCCGGAUUUAUUGGGCGUAAAGCGAGCGCAGGCGGUCAAUUAAGUCUGAUGUGAAAGCCCCCGGCUCAACCGGGGAGGGUCAUUGGAAACUGGUUGAAUUGAGUGCAGAAGAGGAGAGUGGAAUUCCAUGUGUAGGGGUAAAAUGCGUAGAUAUAUGAAGGAACCCCAGUGGCGAAAGCGGCUAUCUGGUCUGUAACUGACGCUGAGGCUAGAAAGCGUGGGGAGCGAACAGG
rnacentral:rRNA from 1 species